UACGGGGGGGGGCAAGCGUUGUUCGGAAUUACUGGGUGUAAAGGGCUCGUAGGCGGCCAACUAAGUCGGAUGUGAAAUCCCCAGGCUCAACUUGGGAACUGCAUCCGAUACUGGAUGGCUUGAAUUCGGGAGAGGGAUGCAGAAUUCCAGGUGUAGCGGUGAAAUGCGUAGAUAUCUGGAGGAAUACCGGUGGCGAAGGCGGCAUCCUGGACCGACAUUGACGCUGAGGAGCGAAAGCUAGGGGAGCAAACGGG
rnacentral:rRNA from 1 species